UGCCUCAGUAACGGCGAGUGAAGCGGCAACAGCUCAAAUUUGAAAUCUGGCCCUUUCAGGGUCCGAGUUGUAAUUUGUAGAGGAUGUUUCGGGUGUGGCUCCGGUCUAAGUUCCUUGGAACAGGACGUCAUAGAGGGUGAGAAUCCCGUAUGUGACUGGUAGCCUAUGCCCAUGUGAAACUCCUUCGACGAGUCGAGUUGUUUGGGAAUGCAGCUCAAAAUGGGUGGUAAAUUUCAUCUAAAGCUAAAUAUUGGCCAGAGACCGAUAGCGCACAAGUAGAGUGAUCGAAAGAUGAAAAGCACUUUGGAAAGAGAGUUAAACAGUACGUGAAAUUGUUGAAAGGGAAGCGCUUGCAACCAGACUUGCAUGUAGCUGAUCAACCGGUGUUCUCACCGGUGCACUCAGUUGCGUUCAGGCCAGCAUCGGUUUCGACGGUUGGAUAACGGCCUUGGGAAUGUAGCUCCUCUCGGGGAGUGUUAUAGCCCAGGGUGCAAUGCAGCCUGUUGGGACCGAGGACCGCGCUUCGGCUAGGAUGCUGGCGUAAUGGUUGUAAGCGACCCGUCUUGAAACACGGACCAAGGAGUCUAACAUCUAUGCGAGUGUUUGGGUGUCAAACCCAUACGCGUAAUGAAAGUGAACGGAGGUGAGAACCCUUAAGGGUGCAUCAUCGACCGAUCCUGAUGUCUUCGGAUGGAUUUGAGUAAGAGCAUAGCUGUUGGGACCCGAAAGAUGGUGAACUAUGCCUGAAUAGGGUGAAGCCAGAGGAAACUCUGGUGGAGGCUCGCAGCGGUUCUGACGUGCAAAUCGAUCGUCAAAUUUGGGUAUAGGGGCGAAAGACUAAUCGAACCAUCUAGUAGCUGGUUCCUGCCGAAGU
rnacentral:rRNA from 1 species